GUAAUUAAUAAAAUGACAUAAUUUUUUUAAGUCAGUAAAUCAUCUUUAUCCCUCAACAAUUGUCUAACCAAAAUUUUAUAACUUUCAAUUAACAUAUUUCAUACACAAAUCAAAAUGAAUAAUAAUGAUUUGAUAUCCAAUUAUAUCAUAUCAAUUAUUUUUAUUUGUUUCAUUUGUUCUUUCAUCUCUAUGUGAUCUAAUAUUUACAAGUGAAGCUUCAAAUAAUCCAUAUAAAAAGGAUUCACAUAUGUCGAUUAUAACUAAAAAGAUAAUAUAUAUUUAUGAGUCUGUAAAAACAUUCAAUCAGCUGCAAAGAUGAAUGGUGAUCCAUAGAAUUGUAUAAAAAUGAUAUAAAUAUCGUAAAAAUAGGAAAAACAAUCUUAAUAGACGUUUAUUUUUUAUAUUUUAAACUUCUUUGGUUUAAGCUUAUUCUUUCUAUCUGAACUAUAGCUAGUUUAAAUAUUUAAAAUGUUAUUAGUAUUAUAGAUUGAU
rnacentral:lncRNA from 1 species